rnacentral:rRNA from 1 species
UACGUAGGGGGCAAGCGUUGUCCGGAUUUACUGGGCGUAAAGAGCGCGUAGGCGGAGAUCUAAGCGUGGCCUGAAAGCCCCCGGCUCAACCGGGGAGUGCGGCUGCGAACUGGGUUUCUUGAGGACGAUAGAGGAGAGUGGAAUUCCUGGUGUAGCGGUGAAAUGCGCAGAUAUCAGGAGGAACACCGAUUGCGAAGGCAGCUCGCUGGGACGUUACUGACGCUGAGACGCGAAAGCGUGGGGAGCAAACGGG